CUCGGCCGCUUCUCUCAGAGAAUAUAGAGCGGCAGCUCUCAUGUCUCUCCAUUCUCUGUAACAAAAAAAACAAAAAAAAGUUUAACAAAAAGCUUCCGGUUAUGUUUAUUUUAACAAAAAACUACAAUUUUAGAUUAAAAAAAUUAAUUCUGGUACUAUUUACUUUACUAUUUAUUUUGUCACUGUCGUUAAAACUCAAAAUUUUCAAACAUUUUUUUAUUAGUUUUUCUAAAAACAAAACAACCUCUGCCUAGCUCUCUAGUCAUUUAAAUUCUUCCAAUGGUUCUGGAUUUGUCCAACCCAAAGCAAAUACCCAGCCGUGCCUCCAUAGCUGGAUUUCUGUCAUUUCUUCCCAAAUCUCCAUGUCUCUGGAAAUUGAAGCUUCAAUCCGUCGAAUCAAUGUACAAGUGCACACCAAUGUUCAACCCAGAAGUCAUGCAGAAGCCCAAAAAUUCAUAGAUCCACCCCCAAACUUAGUCUCGAUCCAUAUCCAUCGAUCUGCAUCUAAGCCCUCUGUCUUCAGCCAAAACAAGAUAUAGCUCGCUGCGAUCAAUCACUGCCCACAUUCAAGCCAUCCUUGCUGCAAAUUCGUCAUAGUCUCAGGUUGGCUCCCAAAUCAGAAAUCCAGUACUCAGAGCCAAAACCCACAAGAGUCUUGCAAGUGACGGUGAUAGCAAAGAUGAAGAAUACGAGGCACAACAAACUGGAAAUCUGGCGGACAAAAAACUGGUGGAUUUCACGAGAUCCUCAGUUUCGGAACUAAAAAGGUAUAAAAUAU